rnacentral:tRNA from 1 species
GUAUAGCUCUGUGGUAGAGUGCUUGCCUAGCAUGCAUGAGGCCCUGGGUUCAAUCCCCAGCAC